UGAAAUUUGAAUCCAUUUGUUUCUCCAAAUCAUCAUCUCUUCAUUAUGGGACUUUAAAUUUGAAUGCUAAGAUGAAAAUAAAUUGAGAAAUGAGAAGAAUAAAGAGCUUCCAGAAAUUAACACAAACAGAAGAAAAGACAAAUCAGCUGGGUGAGUUCUUGUUGAGCCUCCAAUGGCUAAAUCUGCCAUCCAUGAACUUUCAGGCAGCGGCGUCGUCGUCUGUGCCACCGCCCCGGCAGUUGCCGCCCCCGUUCCGGCCGCCACCGUCCUUGGUGAUGAAUCUGUUGAUGAUUUUAAGCUUGGAGACGAAGGGCAAAAUGUGACGGUAUAAUCGGCGCCGGAGCAAGUGAAAGUGCUGGUGGCGUCAUCGUAGGCGUAGCUAUACGAUCGCGGACAAGCCGAUUUGAAUAUCUCCGAGUAUUUAGACGGCUUACAGGUCGCCGGUGAACCAUACGCGCCACUACAGCAGUAUUCCGGCGUCCCAAACUUCUCACACGCGCUUCUACACGCGCCGCCGUUUCCCG
rnacentral:misc_RNA from 1 species